AAUCUAUUUUGUUAAACAUGCUAUACAAUGUUAUAAGGAAUAUAAGGUAAAAUUUUGAUACAAAAAAAAGUUAUGCCAAACAAGUCAAACUCUCAAGUAACGUAUUUUUGAAUAUACCACAUGAACAAUACAUGUACAUAUCAAUAAAAUAUGAGAUGCGCCAAGAAGUCCUUACGGUCGUAUCAAAGAGCACCGCAGAUGAGAAUUUAAUGGGAAGUUCACGCCUCCUUCCAAACUGAUGUUGCAAAACUUGCCCAGAGGAUCUGGAUCAUCAGAACUCACAGUGCACAGUGGGAAAUUAGAUGGCCAAAAAUCAGAAAAGUAACUUGUUUCAAUCAUUAUGUCUGAUAGUGGGUUUUGUAACUAAUACCCUCACUAAGAAUUUUCCAGUUUAUGAAAUUCUAAAUUUGGCAGGCUCAAUUGUAGUGGCUUCUUGAAAUCAUUGAAGAAUUGAGAAUAUAUACAUCAUUGGAAAGAUUAUAGUAUAAACUGUUAAAAAUAAAAAAUAAAAAGUUUCUUGAAAAAGUAGGUAGUAAAACUUUUAGCAUUAAAAGUAAAAAAUUCAUCACAAAAGUACUAAAUUUUAACUUUGAUAAAGAAUUAAAAAAUUGUUCCAAUUUGUACCUUUUCCAUAUUUUGAUAUUUUUUAGUCUAUAGUAUCUACUAACUACCCUGAAAA